rnacentral:tRNA from 1 species
GGCCCCAUCGUCUAAUGGUUAGGAUCCAUGGUUUUCAUCCAUGUCAUAGGAGUUCAAAUCUCCUUGGGGUCACCA